UACGCCACAUUUUUAUGCCUAUACAAUACACAUAAAAACACUAAUAAUAAUAAUAAUAAUAAUAAUAUUAUAAAAGUGUACUUUGUAAUAUAUUCCAAAAUAAUUAGGAAAAACAAACAUUCUUUUCUACCAGAAGUAUUAUUCCAAAUUUGAUAAAUAACGCCUUUUCUGAUAUGAUAUUUAGUUAUGUGUAAGAAAAUGAUUUUGAUUUUUUUUUU